rnacentral:rRNA from 1 species
UACAGAGGUCUCAAGCGUUGUUCGGAUUCAUUGGGCGUAAAGGGUGCGUAGGCGGCGCGGUAAGUCGGAUGUGAAAUCUUGGAGCUUAACUCCGAAACUGCAUUCGAUACUGCCGUGCUUGAGGACUGGAGAGGAGACUGGAAUUUACGGUGUAGCGGUGAAAUGCGUAGAUAUCGUAAGGAAGACCAGUGGCGACGGCGGGUCUCUGGACAGUUCCUGACGCUGAGGAACGAAGGCCAGGGGAGCAAACGGG